UACGUAGGGGGCAAGCGUUGUCCGGAUUUACUGGGCGUAAAGAGCGUGUAGGCGGCCACGCAGGUCCGUUGUGAAAACUGGAGGCUCAACCUCCAGCUGUCGACGGAAACCGUAUGGCUAGAGUCCGGAAGAGGAGAGUGGAAUUCCUGGUGUAGCGGUGGAAUGCGCAGAUAUCAGGAGGAACACCGAUGGCGAAGGCAGCUCUCUGGGACGGUACUGACGCUGAGACGCGAAAGCGUGGGGAGCGAACAGG
rnacentral:rRNA from 1 species